GACGAACGCUGGCGGCGUGCUUAACACAUGCAAGUCGAACGGAAAGGCCCUGCUUUUGUGGGGUGCUCGAGUGGCGAACGGGUGAGUAACACGUGAGUAACCUGCCCUUGACUUUGGGAUAACUUCAGGAAACUGGGGCUAAUACCGGAUAGGAGCUCCUGCUGCAUGGUGGGGGUUGGAAAGUUUCGGCGGUUGGGGAUGGACUCGCGGCUUAUCAGCUUGUUGGUGGGGUAGUGGCUUACCAAGGCUUUGACGGGUAGCCGGCCUGAGAGGGUGACCGGCCACAUUGGGACUGAGAUACGGCCCAGACUCCUGCGGGAGGCAGCAGUGGGGAAUAUUGCACAAUGGGCGGAAGCCUGAUGCAGCAACGCCGCGUGCGGGAUGACGGCCUUCGGGUUGUAAACCGCUUUCGCCUGUGGCGAAGCGUGAGUGACGGUAAUGGGUAAAGAAGCACCGGCUAACUACGUG
rnacentral:rRNA from 1 species